GAGUUUGAUCCUGGCUCAGGACGAACGCUGGCGGCGCGCCUAACACAUGCAAGUCGAACGAGAGAGAAGGAGCUUGCUUCUUCGAUCGAGUGGCGAACGGGUGAGUAACGCGUGAGGAACCUGCCUCAAAGAGGGGGACAACAGUUGGAAACGACUGCUAAUACCGCAUAAGCCCACGGGUCGGCAUCGACCUGAGGGAAAAGGAGCAAUCCGCUUUGAGAUGGCCUCGCGUCCGAUUAGCUAGUUGGCGAGGUAACGGCCCACCAAGGCGACGAUCAGUAGCCGGACUGAGAGGUUGAACGGCCACAUUGGGACUGAGAUACGGCCCAGACUCCUACGGGAGGCAGCAGUGGGGAAUAUUGGGCAAUGGGCGCAAGCCUGACCCAGCAACGCCGCGUGAAGGAAGAAGGUUUUCGGAUUGUAAACUAUUUUAGUCAGGGAAGAAAAAUGACAGUACCUGAAGAAUAAGCUCCGGCUAACUACGUGCCAGCAGCCGCGGUAAUAC
rnacentral:rRNA from 1 species